CCUACGGGUGGCAGCAGUGAGGAAUAUUGGUCAAUGGACGAGAGUCUGAACCAGCCAAGUAGCGUGAAGGAUGACUUCCCUAUGGGUUGUAAACUUCUUUUAUAUGGGAAUAAAAUGUUCCACGUGUGGGAUUUUGUAUGUACCAUAUGAAUAAGGAUCGGCUAACUCCGUGCCAGCAGCCGCGGUAAUACGGAGGAUCCGAGCGUUAUCCGGAUUUAUUGGGUUUAAAGGGAGCGUAGGUGGAUUGUUAAGUCAGUUGUGAAAGUUUGCGGCUCAACCGUAAAAUUGCAGUUGAAAAUGGCAGUCUUGAGUACAGUAGAGGUGGGCGGAAUUCGUGGUGUAGCGGUGAAAUGCUUAGAUAUCACGAAGAACUCCGAUUGCGAAGGCAGUUCACUGGACUGCAACUGACACUGAGGCUCGAAAGUGUGGGUAUCAAACAGGAUUAGAUACCCUGGUAGUC
rnacentral:rRNA from 1 species